rnacentral:rRNA from 1 species
UGAACGUUGGCGGCGUGGAUUAGGCAUGCAAGUCGUACGGGCCGCAAGGCCAGUGGCGCAAGGGUGAGUAAUGCGACGGUAAGCCAACCCCAUGGGUGGGUAUAGCCGCGGGAAACUGCGGGUAAUCCCCAGCGAAGCAAAGCGACCGGCAUCGGUUGUUUGCCAAAGCUCCGACGCCGUGGGACGGGCCGUCGUGGUAUUAGGUAGUUGGGGGGGUAACGGCCCACCAAGCCUACGAUGCCUACCGGGCGUGCGAGCGUGGCCCGGCACACUGGGACUGAGACACUGCCCAGACUCCUACGGGAGGCAGCAGUCGAGAAUUUUCGGCAAUGGGCGCAAGCCUGACCGAGCGACGCCGCGUGGAGGAUGAAGGCCUUCGGGUUGUAAGCUCCUGUCGAGGGGAAAGAAGGCCCGCAAGGGCUUGACUGAUCCCUGGAGGAAGCACGGGCUAAGUUCGUGCCAGCAGCCGCGGUAAUACGAACCGUGCGAACGUUAUUCGGAAUCACUGGGCUUAAAGCGCGUGUAGGCGGGAAUGUACGUCCGUCGCUGAAAUCCCCCGGCUCAACCGGGGAAGUGGCGCGGAUACGGCAUUCCUUGAGGGGCGUAGGGGGACCUGGAACUUCCGGUGGAGCGGUGAAAUGCGUUGAGAUCGGAAGGAACGCCCGUGGCGAAAGCGAGGUCCUGGACGCCUACUGACGCUGAGACGCGAAAGCCAGGGGAGCGAACGGGAUUAGAUACCCCGGUAGUCCUGGCCGUAAACGAUGGGCACUGGGUAGGGGGCUCCCCGAUGGGCCCCCUGCCGUAGCGAAAGCGUGAAGUGCCCCGCCUGGGGAGUAUGGUCGCAAGGCUGAA